rnacentral:rRNA from 1 species
AGUGAACGCUGGCGGUAGGCCUAACACAUGCAAGUCGAACGGCAGCAUAGUAAGUGCUUGCUCUUACGGGAGGCGAGUGGCGGAAGGGGGAGGUAUACAUCGGAAUCUACUUUUUCGCUGGGGAUAACGUAGGGAAACUUACGCUAAUACCGCAUACGACGUACGGGUGAAAGCAGGGGAUCUUCGGACCUUGUGCGAUUGAAUGAGCCGAUGUCGGAUUAGCUAGUUGGCGGGGUAGAGGCCCACCAAGGCGACGAUCCGUAGCGGGUCUGAGAGGAUCAUCAGCCAGACUGGAACUGAGACAGGGCCCCGACACCGACGGGAGGCAGCAGUGCGGAAUCUUGGACAAGGGGGGAAAGCGGGAUCCAGCGAAACCGCGUAGGUGAUGACGGAGUUAGGGUUGGAAAGUCAUGUUGUUGGGAAAGAAAAGCAGUAGGUUAAUACCCCACUGUUCUGACGGUACCCAAAGAAUAAGCCCCGGCUAACUUCGUG